AGCAGACGCUCUUAUCCAGAGCGACUUACAGUUGACUUACAGUCAUCUUCAGAUAGCUAUGUGAGACAGCCACAUAUCACAGUUGUAGUAAGUACAUUUUUCCUGUAUAUAGAAGUCAUCAUAAAAGUCAGUGCUAGUAGGAAAAGACAAGUGCAAGGGGGAACAAGACUGAGAUACUCUUUGAAGAGUCGGUCAUGGCGGGGGCCUUCAUGGACUCGCCCAAUGAUGACGACAGCACGGACCACUCACUUUUCAACUCCUCGGCCAGCGUCCAUGCCGCCUCUAUGGCGGCCCAUGACCAGCCGGAGCGGGAGCCCAUGUCCCGCGACGCCAUCUGGCUUUGGAUUGCAAUCACCGCCACCAUAGGGAACAUUGUGGUCGUGGGAGUGGUGUACGCUUUCACUUUCUGAGUGGUGGAAGCCAUGAUGGAGACAUGCCAGCAGGAGGAAGCUUCUGGACAAGACAUUUGGACAUGAGCUAGGAACACCACAGCAGCCAACGGCCACUCUCAAAGUCUACACUGUUACAGAGCAGUGAAUGAUUCUUGCAUUGGCAUCUUGUCCAAGCAUUUGAAAGACAAGGCAUUGUUCACAAUUACAGAAAUUAAUAUGUGUAAUAUGUUGGUCAUGUUACUGCAGCCAAAGGUCAAAAUAUGGAAUAUUGUAUACAUUAGUGCUGUUGACUAUACAUUAAGAUGUUAACAUUUCUGAUGAAGCUUUAAAUAGUGAACAGUGAUGUACUCUGAAUACCCUCAGAUGUGAUUGGUAAAUUCUGAAAUCAUUGGACGUAAAAUAUUCAGAUAAUAAAACCUUAGUAAUGUGCCGUUUGGAGCGUUUAGAGAUCAUUGAAUGGAAAGUAACACCGGUAAGUUUUUAACAUGUCUUUAACAUCACAGUCGUUACUGUAUUCUACAUAUAUCUGCCCAAAAUAUGGAGUUUAUGACAAACAUACUAGACACAGAAUGUCCAAAGAUCUUUACUGUCUGCAUGACAAUAUAGUUCCACCUGACAGCAUCAGUUUUGGAUCAAGUUAAUCUAGUUCUCCGCUUUUCUCCUCUUUUUUGCCUAAGUGAGCCUUGAGUGCUGAAUAGACAAUAUUUUCCCAGCAUAUUUAUAUCUAAGAUGGUAGGGGUAACCUAAAUCUAUUUCUCUUAAACACUCCUAUCAGACCUCAAACCCAUAUGAGCGGGAACUACAAUUUAUAGGAAUGGAUGUUCACCUUGAACACUUUUCACAGAUGUUUACAUGUGGAAACAACAUUCCUCACACUUAGAAGUCACUUGGAUUCAAGUCUAGUGUACAUACAUCUUGAUGUGACUGCUGUAACCAUUUCAAUGUCGGUCUUGAUGUAUAUUUUGAUCGAGUAUUAUCUUUCUUCCUCUUUAUAGUCUCAAACACAUUGUAACCCAAACUGCCUUCCAAGCCAAAUAGUUUUAAUGAGCCCUGGAUGCGACAAUAGUCAGUUGCCAUAGCGAUGCAUCUCUGUCGCUAUGUGCCUCAAAGAUACCAUGUCUCUCGUUCCCAGUGCAGCACACCUGUUUAUCUCUCUCUAAACUCCCUAGCACAUCUACCUAACAGACACACACACACACACACACACACACACACACACACACACACACACACACACACACACACACACACACACACACAGGCUCUUUACAUGUGGACAUCGAUCACAUCAUACAUUAGCUGAUACUCUAUAACAUUAAGAGUCAACUUAGAUACCAUAAGUUGAAUGAUACUCUACACAUAUGAGCUUUAGAGCUCAAAUUGUUUUCUACUGCUGGUUGCCCUUAGAUACCAUAAGCAUUUCAUAUAGUAGAGCAGGACUCUCCAACCCUGUUCCUGGAGAGCUACCCUCCUGUAGGUGUUCUCUCCAACCCUGUUCCGGGAGAGCUACGCUUCUGAAGGUGUUCUCUCCAACCCUGUUCCUGGAAAGCUACCCUCCUCUAGGUGUUCUCUCCAACCCUGUUCCUGGAGAGCUACCCUCCUCUAGGUGUUCUCUCCAACCCUGUUCCUGGAGAGCUACCCUCCUCUAGGUGUUCUCUCCAACCCUGUUCCUGGAGAGCUACCCUCCUCUAGGUGUUCUCUCCAACCCUGUUCCUGGAGAGCUACCCUCCUCUAGGUGUUCUCUCCAACACUGUUCCUGGAGAGCUACCCUCCUCUAGGUGUUCUCUCCAACCUUGUUCCUGGAGAGCUACCCUCCUCUAGGUGUUCUCUCCAACCUUGUUCCUGGAGAGCUAUCCUCCUCUAGGUUUUCAUUCCAACCCUAAUACAGCACACCUGAUUCAAAUAAUUAGCUGGUUGAUGAGCAGAAUCCGGUCAGUUACAACUGGGGUUGCAGCAAAACUACUGGAGGGUAGCUCUCCAGGAACAGGGUUGGAGAGAACACCUACAGGAGAGUUGCUCUCCAGGAACAGGGUUGGAGAGAACACCUACAGGAGAGUAGUUCUCCAGGAACAGGAUUGGAGAGAACACCUACAGGAGAGUAGCUCUCCAGGAACAGGGUUGGAGAGAACACCUACAGGAGAGUAGCUCUCCAGGAACAGGAUUGGAGAGAACACCUACAGGAGAGUAGCUCUCCAGGAACAGGAUUGGAGAGAACACCUACAGGAGAGUAGCUCUCCAGGAACAGGAUUGGAGAGAACACCUACAGGAGAGUAGCUCUCCAGGAACAGGAUUGGAGAGAACACCUACAGGAGAGUAGCUCUCCAGGAACAGGAUUGGAGAGAACACCUACAGGAGAGUAGCUCUCCAGGAACAGGAUUGGAAAGCCCUGCUCUUCACAUAUUGUGUUUACCCCGGAGAGCCAGAAUAGUUGUCUACUGCUUUUACUGUGUGCCCUUGGUGCACAUUGGUGUCAGCGGUGGGAUUCAGAGAAAGUUACCAGACAGAGGGCAUCCACACCUCCAAACCCCAAAGUCACUCUCUAAAUUGCAGCAGGCAGACACUAAGCUCCCCUUUAAGUGUAGUGUUGAGACUGGGAGGCUACAUCUCUGAUGUGUCUCUGCCUCAUCGUAGAGCAGACCCCAGGAGGUCAAACACAACAUUAAUACAGUCACAGUUUGUGAAUAGUCAAAGUCUGCUUUUCAAAUGGCACCCUAUUCCCCAAAUAACACACUGUGGGCCCUGGUCAAAAGUAGUGCACUAUGUAGGGAAUAGGGCACCAUUUGGGAUGCUGACAUUUGUUUGACUGUGACGGCAGGGACGGUCACCGCGUGAUGUAGUCCUGGGAUAGGGGAUACAAUGUCCUUUUGAUUAUAAUGGAUGAGACCUUCAUAUGGUUUGGUGUGAUAAGUUGGUCCGUUAUUAACCUUGAUUAAUCAAUCAUUAACGGAGAGAUGGAUGACUUGUUGAAGCGGUCUUAAUGAUAUGCUGAUUAAGAAAUCUCUCUUUUUCUGGAGAAGUAUGAUUUUUUUUAAUGAGAUUGAGCUCAAUUAAAAAAUAUAUAAUUUAAUUUGGGCGUAGAUGGAUUUGAUGUGAAAUCAGAUAUUAACCCCAUUCUAGAUUAUCCAUAUAAAAUUGUCCAAACAGCAAACUAUUUCAAGACAAUAACUCAGAAGACGUAUACAUGGAUGUUUGAGUACGCUCUGCAUACUCUGAGCAGUUGAUUAUGACUUUGUUCCAGUUCGUUAACUAAGUAUUCAAGGUCUUACUGAAAAUACCAUUUGUAAAGAUAGAUGGUGUGAUAAUCCACACUGUUCUUCACUUGCAGUGUAACUAUGGUCUUUUGUAUCAGUUAUUAUGUAUGUACUAUUAAAAUGUAGUUUGGUAAAUGUCAUCAAUAAAUGUCAUGUGGCUGGGUGUGAUCAUUCACAGAAACACAGAAUCAUCCUUGAGGAUACAUUUUAUUUGAUCUAAUGUUAUUUCAUUAAAGUUGUCUAAAAAUAAUUCAAGUAUAUGUCACAGGAGUCAUUAAGCAUGUUCUCAUGUUCUUCUGUCAUUCUCAAUAUCAUCCUCACAUGCAAUAAUUAUUAUGUUCAGAGAUAAUAAUCUGAAUGGCAUUAACCAGUGUGAGAUGAUUGAUGAGUGUUUCAAUAUCCAAGCAGUUUCUCAACCUCAAUCGAUCACAGAAAUGCUGCAUUAUGUUUCAUAUGAAGCUCUACUGGUUGGUAUUGAAACGCUGAUGUUUCAGAUUACUUUUAUCAUGCCAGUGGCCUACAGAAUGC
rnacentral:lncRNA from 1 species